rnacentral:rRNA from 1 species
UACAGAGGUCCCAAGCGUUGUUCGGAUUCACUGGGCGUAAAGGGUGCGUAGGCGGUCGGGUAAGUCGGAUGUGAAAUCCCCGGGCUCAACCUGGGAAUUGCAUUCGAGACUGCAAGGCUUGGGUGCGGAAGAGGGAAGCGGAAUUUCCGGUGUAGCGGUGAAAUGCGUAGAUAUCGGAAGGAACAUCAGUGGCGAAGGCGAGUUUCUGGACGGUAACUGACGCUGAGGCACGAAGGCCAGGGGAGCAAACGGG